GUUAACUAAUUUUUACUUUUCAAAAUGUUUAUACAUAUCUUGGCAAUUUCAGUAAUUAUUUUUAAUUACAACUUUGAUAAUAUUUAGUUACAUCUUCAGCACCUACUAUUAUGCUAAUAAUUAUAGAAUUUAAUAAUUAUUAAUUUAACAAUUAUUACUUCUUAAUAUGUGUAUAUAUAUUCCUGAUGAAUGCAAUAAAAAUUUUUUAUUAAAUCAUUUUUAACCUUAGUUCCUUCUACAUCUGCUAUUUGUGGUUGGAUACAACUGGGCAGGAAGGGGGGCGUUUGGCGUGGCACAUGUCCCGUCCCUUAUGUCAACUUAUACACCACUUGUAUAUGCUGUAAAGUAAGAAAAUUUAAUUUAAAAUUUUUCAUACAAAAUAUAAUCAUUGUUUUUUAGGUUCAAAUAUUUAUAACAAUGUAGCAUUUCACUACGAGGGUGUUAAAACGUAACAAAGACAUCAACACUUCAAUCUAAAAUAGACCACUAAUAUUUGGAAAUGGAUUGGAAGCAAAUUGGAACAAUUUUUUGUGUAUAAAGAUGACAUAUUUUAUCAGAAAAACACUCUUUCGUGUGAAAAA